AGGACGAACGCUGGCGGCGUGCUUAACACAUGCAAGUCGAACGGUGAACCCCUUCGGGGGGAUCAGUGGCGAACGGGUGAGUAACACGUGAGCAACCUGCCCCUGACUCUGGGAUAACCCCGGGAAACCGGAGCUAAUACCGGAUAUGACACCUUCGGGCAUCCGAUGGGUGUGGAAAGAUUUAUCGGUUGGGGAUGGGCUCGCGGCCUAUCAGCUUGUUGGUGGGGUAAUGGCCUACCAAGGCGACGACGGGUAGCCGGCCUGAGAGGGCGACGGCCACGACUGGGACUGAGACACGGCCCAGACUCCUACGGGAGGCAGCAGUGGGGAAUAUUGCGCAAUGGGCGAAAGCCUGACGCAGCGACGCCGCGUGAGGGAUGAAGGCCUUCGGGUUGUAAACCGUCUUUCAGCAGGGAGAAGCGAAAGUGACGGUACCUGCAGAAGAAGCACCGGCUAACUACGUGCCAGCAGCCGC
rnacentral:rRNA from 1 species